GUCCUGGCCCUAACGAUGAAUGCUUGGUGUGACGGGUAUCGAUCCCUGUCGUGCCGAAGCUAACGCAUUAAGCAUUCCGCCUGGGGAGUACGGUAGCAAGGCUGAAACUCAAAGGAAUUGACGGGGCCGCACAAGCGGUGGAGCAUGUGGUUCAAUUCGACGCAACGCGAAGAACCUUACACAGGCUUGAACAGCGAGUGACCAGCGACGAAAGUUGCCUUCCGCAAGGACACUCGUAGAGGUGCUGCAUGGCUGUCGU
rnacentral:rRNA from 1 species